rnacentral:rRNA from 1 species
AUGGCGGCCUCUAAUCGCCGCAGUUAUCAAAGGAGUCACAUUUUGAUUGGCCAAACGUUUUCCCAAGGGAUCGAUCAUGGUCCAGGAGUACCUUCACAAUAUCUACAAGCAGUGUCAGAUGUCCAUCUUUCUUGCUCAUUAGCUUGUGUAGGCAAUGGCACACUGCAGUUAUCAUACAGAUCAGGUGAAUUUCAGCACUGCAAAACCAAUAUAAUUGGAUCCAUGGAGAUUGAUCAAAGACCCAAAAAACCAUGGCAAUCAAUUAAUUUAGAAAUCCAUAAACCCCUUUCUUCAUGCGAACUAUGA